UUGCUUCAGCAGCACAUAUGCUGAAAUCAGGAUGAGACAGAGGAUUCGUGUAGCCCUUGUGCAAGGAUGACACACAGAUCUGUAAAGUGGUUCAUAUUUUU
rnacentral:snRNA from 1 species